UUUUUCAGCCCUGUGUUUUAGCGCUCUUUUAGGUCUCGGCCUGCUGACUGGGCUCCCAGCUGGUUCACUGGAGAGACCUUGACUGUACUUGCAAGUGGGCAAAUAGAGGUCAUCAGAGUCAUCUCCUGAACCACUUGAUUCACAGACGCUCACUUCAGGUUCAUUGGUGUUUUCUCCUCUGUUCGAAUCAUUGUUAAUUUUUUGUCGGAAAGGAGUGAGAUGAAUUCCCUCUUCCAAAUUAAAAUUGUAGGCAUCACUGGAAGUGACAGAUUCAUCCAACUUUUCUUUGGAGACAGUUUUUUUAUUUUCACUUUUGCUCGCUUUAUACUUUGAUACAGAUUUUGAUUUUUUCCUUCUGUUACCUUUUCUUUUCUCUUCUCCUUUUCUUCCUUGUGCACCUCUGCGCUUAUUUUUAGUUUGUUCAGGUUUAUACUCUAAGAUGUCUUCUUUUGUUUUAGUGGAUCUUUCUGGGUCAAUCAGCUUUGGUGAUAAGUUAAUUUGAUCAUUAUUCCAUUGACAAACAUUUUGUUCCACGUUUUCAGGUAAGUGCAUAUUUACUACUGGGUCUACACAUCUAAUUCUUUCCAAUUCAAAGGACUGCUCUGAGAAAUGACUGAUUUCAAAAUCAUCCAAGGUAUUGAACUGACAUAGAUUAUUAAAAUGUUUCUUUAAACUGCGACGGACAGAUACAGUUCUAGGUAAGACAUUAUCAGUAGAUUUAUCAUCAUCUGAAUUCAAAUCAAAUCCCAGUCUGUCUUGAGAAAUAGGUAUUUGCUCUGAGAAUUUAAAAGAUAAAUGAGAAAAAAAUAGUUUAACUUUAUGGAAAUUUUAAAUUCAGUAAUCUUAGAACUCAAAAUUAAAAAUGAAAUAAAUGAAAGGUCAGUUUGUAGUUCCGCAUUUGCUGUAAGCAAAUAAAAAUCUGGGGAACUUAGUACUACCAUCUAAUUUAUUUGGCAAUGAUCAAUCAAUGGGUUCUAUCUGACUUGUGAAAGAAUCUUACAUAACGUCCAAACAUGUUCUAACUGGGGGUUUUCUGUGUCCCUAGUUUAAAGGUUUAAAGAAAAAGUAGUUGGCUAUAUGUAUCUAUGUGUAUAGGAUUCAGUGGGAGAGAACCUCAUAUUCUAAAGUAAAGUAAGACCAGUACACUGAGAAAGUGGGAGCUAAGAUGUUCUUUGAAAUCCCAGUAAAACUGCAAUAAUUAUAAAGCCUUUCAGGUAAGAAAUAUAGUAAGCAUUUUUAGGGAAAGGUUCUGCUUAUUCAAAUGCCAUCCCUUCUUCAAAGCAUUGAGAACAGGGACACGCCAAUUUAGAAAUGGAAAGAAUGGCAUAGCUUUGGAGGUCGGCUUUCAGUUAAAUGCUUGCUCUUACCUUUUGGGCUACUUUUUGUGUGAUACUUUACUUCUUUGAGUAUAUAUAAAAUGGGACCAACUGUACCUAUAUUCUAAGGUUGUUGUGAGGGUUAAGUGAGAUAAUGUAAAAUGGCUAACACAGCUUGGCAAAUAGUAGGGCUCAGUAAACUGCAGCCAGUUAUAGCUGAUAGCUGAUAACAAAAUAAAUAUAUUUUUAAACUGUUAUAUUCUGUGUAAAAUAAACAGAUUUGCUUUGAGCAGAAGAAUGCCAGAUGAGCAUACUUAAAAAGUUAAAAAAAAAAAUUAGAGAAAUUUAAUUAUGUUACUUGUUCUCAAAGAUCUCAUCUUGCCCUUAGUAUUUUUACAUUUUCACUUGAAUUACCUUCUAUUUGGAAUGAUUCUCCUUGUCCUGGAAGGUGAGCUUCCUGAAGAGGAACUUGUCUAGCCAAAGAAAAACAGAAAUUUAUUUAAGAAUUAUGUAACAAAAAGAAAUUUAAGAUUUUCUUAAGUUUUUCUCUUAGUAUCAUUUCAUAAUUCUAUUCUAAAUCUGCUAAGUAUCAAAGAAAACAAAAAACCUUUCUGCUGAUUAUAUGGAGCCUCGUUUGUUAUAAGUGACAUUCAACUCCACUGGAGGAACUACCUUAUCUAUUUGGACACUUACUCCUGAUGACAUGCCAUAACUCAUAAUUCCAUUUACCUGGAGAAACAGCCAAUCAAAACUGACUUAUAUAUUACAGAAAUGCAAUUUGAUUACUCAACUCUUUAGCAGCCUAUUUCAUCAUUAGCUGACCUGUGAUUUUUUUUUUUUCUUUUUUGUAGCAUAGGUUUUUAUGGUGCCUAACUACUGACCCCUCUGAAGUUAAUACUAUUUAUUUUCUUUAAAAAUCUUGUCCCCCUUGUGGCUCAUGAAACAAUUUUCUUUAUGCUUUAAUACUAUUACUGGCUGUUUCAUUCUAAUUAUAAUUUUAGUCUUUAUUUCCUAUAGAGAAUUUUCCCUCUAGACAUCAAAUUUUAAAUACAGGUUUAGGUAAUAGAGUUAUGGUAACUAAUUAAUAACAAUUUCAGGAAUCUUAUAAAAAUUCAAUUACCCCAUUUUACUUUUUGACCAUUACAUAAAUAUUUUGUCAGGUGUUACAGUUCAACAGCUUUUAAACUAUUCAUGAUUAAAAAUAUGGGGGCAGAAACUGUCUUUGUGAUUACUUUUGUGAAGAGAAGGGCGUAGACUUGAAAGGGAUAUGAGGAGAUGGUUUAUAGCAGUUCUUAAUUGGGGAUAAUCAUAUCCCCUCAGCAGAUACAUGGCACUGUCUGGAGACAUUUUUGGUUGUCUUAACUGGGGGAAGGAAGUGGCAUUGGCAUUUAGUGGUAGAGGCCAAGGAUGCUGCUAGAUAUCCCAAAAUGCUUAGGACAGCCCUCCACAACAAAGAAUGAUCUGGCCUAAAAUGUCAAUAAUGCUGAAACUGAGAAAGCCCAGCUAGAGGGACAGCAGUGCUCUAUAUCAUAAUUGAGAUUUUGGUUCCACAGGUGUAUACAUUAGUCAAACUCAUUGAACUGUAUAAUUAAGAUCUGCACACUUCACUGUAUGUAAUUAUAUCUCAAUAAUUCAUAAACAAAGUGUACUUGAUCCAAGAGAAGGGGAGGAGGGUAUAUGGGGUCUGACUGUAUUUAGGAAUGAAUUGGAUUAGCAAGACAGGGUGAUAGCUGUGCUAAAUGUGAUGUUUUAUUAUAUUUCAUUUCUAAACCAAACUAUUUGUAGCACUGGCAAAAUACCGUCAUUUGAAUAAACAAUCCUUCUUAGAAUAAAAACAUGAUAUCACAAAAAUAUAACUGAAGGAAUUCAAUUAUAUUUAAAUAGCUAGCUUAAUCCUAACAUCAAAAAGGUAAAUAUAAGAAAGUUUUGGCUUAGCUACAUGUAACAGAAUAUCAACAUAUCAAAUUUUUUAAAAUGCAUUUUUAGUAGAGAAACAUCAGACUCCAAACACAAGAAUCAAUACGAUGCAAAUUUUCUUUCAUAAAUGUGUCAGAGAAUUAAAUCUUUUUUGACAUUAGUAAUCUUAAUAAUGAAUUUGAUACCAACGGUAAAUCCUUCACAAAUAAAUCCCCGGAGUUGUCACUACUGGUGGCCAUUCCAGAGGGACAUACUUCCUGGUUCUGUUAAUAUAUGAAAACAAAGAAAACACUGUUACAACUGAAAUAUUCAUAACAAAACAUUCAUUUAUUCAACAAUAAAAAUGUACCAACAGUCUACUAUGGUGCUAGGCCCUGUUCUAGGAACCAAGUCUCUAGCAGCUAAAAAUAUAUAUUUAAGUCCAACUCUCUUAAAGCUUACAUUCUAGUGUAGGGAGAGAAAAAUUUUAAAUGAAAGGAAAGAGAUACAUAAAUAAUUUCAGAUAGUGAUAAAGUGCUAUGAAGGAAAUACUCAGAGUUGAAGUGACAGAGAGUGACUGAGGUUGGAGGUUCCCUUAGACCUUCAUCUGAAAUCUAAAGAAUGCAAAGGAGCCAGCCACUGAAAAGAGGAGGGAAAGAAAAAGUGGUGGAAACAACAGAUACAAAAGUCAUGAUGUAGGAAAAGCUUUGCUGUGUUUAGAAAAGAAAGGCCACUGUGGCUGGACAUAUAUGAAUUCUCUCAUAGUGAGAACAGGAGGGGAUGUGUACUCAGAGACCAGGUAACACGGCGCCUUGGGAGUCAGGAGUUUGGAUUUUAGUCCAAGUGUGAUACGAAGUUACUUAAUCGUUAAGCAGGGAAGUGAAAUGAUUUAAGUUUUAAAAAGAUCAGUCUGACCACUAUGUGGAACAUGGACUGAAAGGGGCCAAGAGAAGAAGGAGUUAGGAAGUCAUUGUAGUAAAUCUAGCAAGACGUGUAUCAGCUAGGACUUGAGUCCUACAGCUACAGAGGUGAAGCCCAGCAGAAGCUGUUGAGAGAACAAAGAUGCUGAGAUUGAAUCGGCGUGGAAGUGGGGACAGUGAGGGAGAGGGAAGCCUCUUUGGUUUGGACUUGAGCAAAUGGUAGGUUGUUUUAUGAGAUGAAUAAGACAGACAGACAAAGGCAGAAGUACACAGUAUCUCUGGGAGAGGGAAAAUAGAGUUGUACUUUGUACAAAAUGUUUGAGAUCCUUGGGGUGCCUGGGUGACUCAGUCGGUUAAGCAUCCGACUUCACCUAAGGUCAUGAUCUUGCAGUUCAUGAGUUUGAGCCCCGCGUUGGGCUCUGUGCUGACAGCUCGGAGCCUGGAGCUUGUUUCAGGUUCUGUGUCUCCCACUCUCUCUGCCCCUUUCCUGCUCAUGUUCUGUCUCUCAAAAAUAAAUAAACGUUAAAAAAAAUGUUUAAGAUCCUUUAUAAAUAUUUCAGUGGAUAAAUCAAGUAGUAGUCGUGUGUGUGUGUGUGUGUGUGUGUGUGUGUGUUGAGCUAUAAAUUUGGAAGUCCCCAGCAGAGAGUAUUUAAAGCAUGGGAAGGGGGUAAGAUAAGAUGGAUCUAGGACAACUGACAUUUGAAACUAAAGAAGAAGUGAGCAAAUGAGACAGACAUGUAACAGAAAGGCAGGACAACUACAAGAGUAUGGUAGUAGGAAAGCUAGGAGAUUAUAAAGUAUGUUACUACAUAAAGGUCAAGAAGAAAGAGAGGUGGCCACUAAAUUUGGUAAUAUGGGAGUUGUGGGGACCUUGGCACAGUGACCAUAGAAUGAUGGGGAUAAAAGCCAGAUAAGAGGGAGUUCAAAUGGAAAUAGAAGCUGAGGAAGUGAAAACAGUAAGUGCACUGUUUGUCUCUGCUAAAGUUCUGCUGUGAAGGGAAGCAGAGAAAUGAGGAGGUAGAGGGAUAUGAAACCAGGAGAGGUUUCAUUUAUUUUCUUUUCCUCUUAAGGCAAAAGAUGCUAAAGCACAUCUGUAUGACAGCUAGAAUGAGUCAGUCAAGAGGCAGAUCCGUGUUGAAAGAGUGCAAACUUUCAGGACCAAAGUGCUUGAGGGCAAGAGAAAAGGGGAAUGUGAUGCACAGGGAAAGGCUUGGCCUUUGAUAGGAGCAGAGACACUUCUCCCACUGUGACAGGAGGGAAGACAGAGAACACACUGCAGAUACGGGCAGAUUUGUAGAUUUGUAUUAGAAAGGUAAGAGUUCUGGACGGAUUCCUUCGAAGUCACUCUAAUUCAGUUCAGUUGUUUCUUGAAAUUGGAUGCACAUACAAUAUGCUGAUGUUAUGAUAGAUUAAAACUGUUCAAGAGAAACAAAACAACUAGAAAUUUAAUCCUGUUAAAAGUUUUAAAUUUAUUUUCAAUAUAGCUCAUGUUCUAAAUUUAAGUAGUGGUAUUACUGAAGGUAAAUAAAGGAGAAUAUUUAACUACAGAAUAAUAUAAUUUAGUAACAAGUUACUAAAAAGAUCUAUUAUAAAAUUUAGGAAACAAAAGGCUAUUAGAAAUUACUUUGUGAUUAAUCCUUAUAAACCAAGUUAACUAUUGGUAGGCAAAAAAAACCCCAUUCUUCUUAUUAAAGCAUUUUAAGUUUCUCCAUUACUGAUUGACUUGAUAAACAUAUAAGCACAAGUAUAGAAUGAUGGUUGAGGAGUGACACAUAUAGCAAGUGUAUGGCAGAAAACAAACUCUGAUGUUUUAUUUUUUUUUUUAAUUUUUUUUUUUUCAACGUUUAUUUAUUUUUGGGACAGAGAGAGACAGAGCAUGAACGGGGGAGGGGCAGAAAGAGAGGGAGACACAGAAUCAGAAACAGGCUCCAGGCUCUGAGCCAUCAGCCCAGAGCCUGACGCGGGGCUCAAACUCACGGACCGCGAGAUCGUGACCUGGCUGAAGUCGGACGCUUAACCGACUGCGCCACCCAGGCGCCCCAAACUCUGAUGUUUUAAAUGCUAAGAACACUUUUGCCCAGCAACUAAUGUUUUUGUUUUUUUUAAGUUUAUUUAUUUUCAGAGUAAGACAAAGAAGGAGAGAGGGAGAGGGAGGGAAGGAGGGAGGCGGGGGAGGGAGAGAGAGAGAGAGAGAGAGAGAGAAAAUCCCAUGCUGGCUACCCACUGUCAGCGCAGAGCCCGACAUGGGGCUCGAUCCCACAAACUGUGAGAUCAUGACCUGAGCUGAAACCAAGAGUCAGAUGCUUGACUGACUGAGCCACUCAGGCGCCCCAGCUAAUAAUAUGUUUUAAUAAAUACUCAGAAAGCAUUGAUAAAUGUCCAAAGGCCUGCAAUAACAGAUUUUUUCCCCCAUUGUUUUUGUGAUUGUCUCAUUGGGUAUUCAUUUCUCACUAUUUUAUAUAUGAUUUCACCAAAAACUUUGGAAAGGGAAAAGGAACAUUCAAAUGUCUUUGGAGGGAUUUUUUUUUUUUUCUUACUAGUUGACUGAACAAGGAAAAGAAAAAAAUUAGGAAAGAUUAUAUUCUGAAGGGGAAAACCCCAAAAAAACAAAAAGUUUUAAAUAAUCUAACCCUCACAUAAAGGAAAAUUAUAUCAAAUCUUUUAUAGCCAAUUCUCUGCUAUACCAUAUAUGUAUAUAUUGCAUAUAUGUAUGUGUAUGUACAUUCUGUAUAUCAUACACAGAAAAAAUAUGGAAUCACUUUCAUCACUGACUCUUGCUGUCAGUGGAGAGGUGACUUUAAUUCCCUUCCCGAGUCUUUACCCUCCCCCUAAUCGCUAUGGUCUGGCUUUCUUCUCUGGUUUCCUAGCCUAAGUGCCAACACAACUGUCUUCACUGGCACAGCAAACAGAUGGCCGCCCAGGAAAAAAGUAAACUUGUUUCUGUCAACACCUGACAUGCACCACUGCUUUCUCUCUCUCUGCCCCAAGUAGUUUUCCUGGUAAGAGGAAAGGAGAACCUGGCUCAUCAUUUCUCUCUUCUUGGGAUCAAUGUGCAGUGGGACACAAAGAAUAUCAAGCUUUCUCCACAUCUGUUACAUUUUGGCUGACCCUUCCAUGUAACCUUGAAUACAACAGAAUAAGAGUAAAAUAUAAACAGCAAAAUGUUUAGGAUAGUUCUUGUUUGGGAAUUAAUGUAUACCUUUCCUUAUUUAACCAACUAGUGGGUAAAAAGGACUCUCCAAAAAACACUUAAAUGCCCCCUCUCCCAAAUUAAGGCAGUUCUUAUAAGACCUCACUAGGUAUAACACAACUACAUAGAAAAGCUAAGAUUUAUAGCACUGAUUAAAACUUUUGGACUGGGGCGCCUGGGUGGCGCAGUCGGUUAAGCGUCCGACUUCAGCCAGGUCACGAUCUCGCGGUCCGUGAGUUCGAGCCCCGCGUCAGGCUCUGGGCUGAUGGCUCAGAGCCUGGAGCCUGUUUCCAAUUCUGUGUCUCCCUCUCUCUCUGCCCCUCCCCCGUUCAUGCUCUGUCUCUCUCUGUCCCAAAAAUAAAUAAACGUUGAAAAAAAAAAUUAAAAAAAAAAAAAAAAAAAAAANNNNNNNNNNNNNNNNNNNNNNNNNNAAAACUUUUGGACUAGUCCGCUUCAACUAUCACUUUUAGACCUUUAGCUGAGUUGCCCUAUAUUUGACUCACUUAGCUGAACGGUUGAAAGGACCAGCAGUGCAAAAGGCUAAACUAUUUCUUCUGUACCUUGUCUUGCUACCUGCUUUCAGAACCAAGUUAUACAAGCACAAGCCUCAAUCAUGUAUGUUUUGAUCAAUUCACUAAUAACAGAGCUACCGGUCAGUAAUGAAUUUAUAUAACAUAAUUGAUCUAAACUACCAAUUCACUGAUUUCACAUUUUUUCCUAAGAAAUUCAACGUUUGUGAUGAAAAUACCUGAGUAGUUUCUCCGGUUUGUUGUGAAGCCAGUUUUUCUUUCAAUGCAUGUAGCUGACAUGUGAGGUAGUAACAUUCUUUUCUCAGUUGUAAGAUGAUAUCUUGGGCUUCUCUCACUUUGGAUUUUUCAUUUUCCAAAGCUAAAGCUAACAUUCUGUUGUUGUCUUGGUAGUUUUUCAACAGUGUAGAAGUGUUGGCUGAAAGAGGAUAAAUUUUUUUUUUAUUAUGUAUUAAAUAUAAACUUAAAAAGCGACGCAAAAGGACAACAUGAAAAUCUCUUACUGAUUAUUUGGCAUGGCGCAGCUAUAAAAGACUUUCGUUUGCCGAUCUCUGCCAAAUUUUUACUCCUUUUCUCUUUCAUUCGUUUCUUUAUGUCUUCAAGACUAUCUUGAAAGGACUUUUUAAGGCACCUUUCCUUGGCCAUCUUCUGCCUAGGAAUUUAAAACAGUAAAAAGUAUUUAAUUUUUCUAAGAGAUAGUAUCAAAUAUAAAACAAGAUUGAAAACACAGGUUGUUCAUAAAGAAUGGAUUAAAUAGACUUAGUAACUGUAGAAUCAGCUUAAAGAAGCUGGCUAACCUGGUAAUAACUUAGAUUUUGCAGCUUUUAAACCUCAUUAACAUUUUGGCAUAAUGUUAUCCUCCUCAGGUACUUUACAGGGAAAAUUAAUAAAUAUGCAUUUCAACCCAAAGACUCUGUAAUAUGCCACUUAUUUAUUCCUUAACAAAUACCCACUGGGGGCUUGCUAUAUACCAGGCAUUAUGGGAAAUACUUAAUGUUAUAUUUUGAUGUUAUUAUUAUUUAUGUUUCCUACAGACAAUGUUUAUGACCCGCAUUUAGUGUUUACUAGACUUACAGCAUUAGUUCAGAGGUAAUCUUGUAUGUGGGCUUUGUUUUCCAGUUCUUCUCUACAUUAUUAAUUUAUCACAUUAGGUCACUGGAUAGAAUUAAUCAAGAAACAGUUAUUCUUCCACACUCUUUUAACCCAAUGCUUAAGAUUUGCACACACUCCCAAGACACUGGAGGUAAUCCUCAGAGGUUGAAACUAUGUAGCACUAUAUACAAUCUUAAUAGGUUAUUAUAACAAUUAUAGAACUAGAAAGAGCAGGAACUGAGGCAGAGCAACAUGCCAGUUUUCUCAAAGUUAUUUUUAAAACUCAGGUCUGUUAGCUCUUAGUAAAUCAUGAGAAUAGCAAACAAGACAUUAAAUAACAGUUGUUCUACAUACAGUUGAAAGUAGUAAAACAAGCAGUGACAGUGAAAUAUGCUACUGAAUAUAUUAACACAUAAAUAUAUUUAAAUCCUUCAAUGCUGCAAAUCAGAUUUGCUUAAAUAUUCUGCUACUAAGCGUAUCGAACUACUUUUCAUGAGCAUCUUUUACCCCAGAUUGCACUUUGCAGAUUACAAAAUUGCAAGAAAUAAUUCCUGUUUCCUACAACCAUACUUACAAUUUUCACUACAAAAGAUACCUUCAUCUGCUCUAAGCUAGUCAAAUAAUUUUGCUGAACCUUACGUUUUCUUGAGUAUUUUCUCCAGCCCAUAUUUAUUUUCCUCUAUGCACUGUCUGGGGGUGUUCAAUGUAGAACUCAUUUGUUAUUUUCUCUUUGACAAUGUAGAUACAACACAUACUGGGAUGUUUCCAGUAGAGCUAACACAACUCUUUUUUUUAAAGCACUAAUGUUAAGUGGGUUGUAUGAAAACAGCGUAUCACAAUGGGAGUUUUUAAAGUUCGAACAGGAGAUGUUUGAAAAGUCACCCAGAUUAAGCAACUGAUCAAGUUAGUUUAACAACGUACCUAAAAUAUUUUCGUUAUUACCUUUCAUUAACUUAAAAUCACAAAAGAAAACUGCCAUAUAAGAAGUUUCCUAUCUAGGCCAAAGUAGAGGGGGUGUGGUGGAGAGAACGAAUGGAAACAGGUCACAGGGCGGGAAGGGUCAGUGUCUAGAGCAUUCGGGUAAGGGGUCUGGAUUCAGAAGAACCUGGAAUAUCUAUCCGAUCUCCGUCAUAAUGCUUCCAUCAUUCCUGCAGCCAGGUACGACACUGACCAGUGCUAGCUUCUCCAGGCAAACCGAAGAAGCAACACAGGACGUCAAGGGCAUAGGGCUGCACACAGAACAGCUGCCAGUUUGUGUGCCCUCACGUCAAGCCGGGCUUUAACUACUAAUGCUUUUACAGAUCACGGAAUCUACAAAAUUCUGCAAGGCAGGAGGUUCGUGUCCCCAUUUACUUAACAAGAGGAAAAUGGAGCCUCAGGAAGGGCAAGUCGAGUGGACGAACAGAGAAGGUGUCGGGGUCAGACCGACUCCACAGCCCGAGCUUUUGGCCACCGAACUUAGAACGACAGAGAGACCCCUGAGGGCAGACGAACAGGGACCACGACACCCCAGUUCCACACCUGGAAAGCCCGCGGCUUUCUCUUUCACGGAGGGGCUCGGGGAAAGUCGGGGGCGGGGGGGUGUUGCCGGAAGAGGGCCGGGAGAUCUUCCUCCCACAGGUACGUCCAAAACAGUACCUUGGCCACCACUUCUGCCGCAGCUGUCGCCCUCCUUCUUACAUUCCAAGGUU
rnacentral:lncRNA from 1 species